rnacentral:rRNA from 1 species
UACAGAGGUGCCCGAGCGUUGUUCGGAUUCAUUGGGCGUAAAGGGUGCGUAGGCGGCGGGGAAAGUCUGAUGUGAAAUCCUAGGGCGUCAACCCUGGAACUGCAUUGGAUACUUCCUUGCUAGAGUACUGGAGAGGAAACUGGAAUUUACGGUGUAGCAGUGAAAUGCGUAGAGAUCGUAAGGAAGACCAGUGGCGAAGGCGAGUUUCUGGACAGUUACUGACGCUGAGGCACGAAGGCCAGGGGAGCAAACGGG